rnacentral:tRNA from 2 species
AAAACAUUAGAUGACUGAAAGCAAGU